CACCAUCUUCUGCUCGCAUCGGUUGCUGGUGUGCAGAAUGGUUAGCAUCUGCAACCAAUUCGAGCUGGCCCCAGGAGCCAAGAGCAGAUAUCGGGAUAGCUACCUUCAAUUGUCAAUUCCCUGGGAAAGUUCUGCACCAUCAUGCCAAUAGCCACUUACCUAAUGGAGCAGAGACAGUUGGAAAGUUCAUUUCACUGGCUAAAAGACAAUCGAUGGAACUAUGCUCCAGACCUGACCCAACACAAUAUAUAAUACAGGAGCCAGUCUGGGAAAGCAGACAUUUUUAGCUUUAAAGUAGUUUGGUCAGUAACAGCCAUUAUGUGUAGAGGUCUAAGUAGAACCUGUGAGGACAGCACCAGCCUUUGUUGUCUCGGCACGUCAGAGUUAGAUUUUCUCUCUGACACUGAGUUUAACUAAGAAAGGUGCCAAGAAUUCAUUCCUGUUCAGCUGAAAAAGAGUCCAACUAGCAGGACCAGCAAUGAAAAAGGACCUUCAUUGACUCCCUGAAGCUUUUGUGACUACUGAGUCCACCUCCAAGACAACCUCUAGCUAUUUGACUGCAGAAGACAUCACAGCUGCUCUUCACCUUUAACCCUUCACUGCAGACCUCCAGUCCUUCAAAUACAAAACACAGACUCAACAUGAUAUUCUAAAGGAUUGAACUGAAUUUCAUCUUUAUAGGUAUCUCAUGUC